AAUGGCAGGUCAGCAUACUGCCGUGAAUACGUUCCCGGGCCUUGUACACACCGCCCGUCACACCAUGAGAGUUGGGAAUACCCGAAGCCUGUGAGCUAACCUAAUAGAGGCAGCAGUCGAAGGUAGAAUCAAUGAUUGGGGUGAAGUCGUAACAAGGUACC
rnacentral:rRNA from 1 species